rnacentral:rRNA from 1 species
CCUACGGGGGGCAGCAGUGAGGAAUAUUGGUCAAUGGCCGGAAGUCUGAACCAGCCAAGCCGCGUGAAGGACGAAGGUGCCAAGCAUUGUAAACUUCUUUUGUCAAGGGACAAACUCAGGCUCGAGAGCCUGCCCGCGGGUACUUCAAGAAAAAGCAUCGGCUAACUCCGUGCCAGCAGCCGCGGUAAUACGGAGGAUGCGAGCGUUAUCCGGAUUUAUUGGGUUUAAAGGGUGCGUGGGCGGGCUGUUAAGUCAGCGGUAAAAGCCCGGGGCUCAACCCCGGCGAGCCGUUGAAACUGGCGGCCUUGAGAGGGCGAGAGGUAGGCGGAAUGCGCAGUGUAGCGGUGAAAUGCUUAGAUAUUGCGCAGAACUCCGAUUGCGAAGGCAGCAUACCGGAGGCGAUCUGACGCUGAGGCACGAAAGCGUGGGUAUCGAACAGGAUUAGAUACCCUUGUAGUC